rnacentral:lncRNA from 1 species
CCGGUUCAUCUCCUGGAGCCUUCGAUCCAAGAGGUCCUCUCGAUUGUGAGUCUUGAGGGUCUUCUGGUAGAGUGAAGGUAGGGCUCCUCUGGGAGCGGAAUCAUGAUCAGACUGAGGGCUCUCCACCUUCGAAUUUCUCUUUUCGGGGAAGACAGGGUGACUGACCCAAGUGGCCCACCCUACUAUUGUAUUUUGGAACUCCGACGAUGCUCUUUCCAACC